UUCGUGACCUUGAGUUUUCCCUGUGGACAAGCCUUGACAUUCAAGGCGAGCUCACCCUUCAGAACUUCCUCGAGCAUUUCAAGAACGAGUUCGAAGUCGAAAUCGUCAUACUGUCGGAGGGAUCCCGCUUGUUGUACGCCAACUUCAUGGCCCCACCGGCGAAACGUCUUAGGAUGACCAUGAGCGAAGUGGUGCAGGACGUGUCGAAGGAAAAGAUCGACCCGGGCAAGCGCGCCCUGAUGUUUCAGCUCAUGUGCAACGAUUUGGACGGAAAAGAAGUAGAGCUGCCCCAAGUACGCUACUUGCUGCCCAAGCAAGACCAAGAGGCUGCAGACCCUCCAGUCUGAACGGCGCAGAAGCCACUGGCGAAGCCAUUUCCACCACGCCACUUCACAUCCCGCAUCGAUGACUUCUUGAAAGCCAAAGCCAGCAAUAAGCCCCUUCCAUCUCAUCGAUGUCCGCGUCACCUGUAAUUGGAAGUUCUCCACUAAGGCCCCCGCCCCUUCGUAUUCAAAUUGAUACAAAUCACAUCAGUGAAACCCGAGCAUGUGGUUCGCUUUGUUGAGUGUCUGCUUCUACCAGCGCGUGCAUACUUAUUCACAUUUUUUAUUUGCUGCUGUUACUGAUGCUGAUAAAGCGUGAGCCAAAAGCCCCCAAAAACAGCGCUUACAGAAAUUGACAGCUUGCGUAUACACAAUGACGCCCCACGAAUCCUCUUUAACCUUUGGCGUUAAAGUAAAUACUAGACAUUUUAUUGGAGCGCUUUUCACUUGUUAAUAUACCGUCGAAUAUGGCUUUCAUUGCCUAGACGCGUAUAAUAUGUCGAUUGAACCUGA